rnacentral:rRNA from 1 species
GACGAACGCUGGCGGCGUGCUUAACACAUGCAAGUCGAACGGUGACCUCGAGAGCUUGCUCUUGGGUGAACAGUGGCGAACGGGUGAGUAACACGUGAGUAACCUGCCCCUGACUCUGGAAUAAGCGCUGGAAACGGCGUCUAAUACCGGAUAUGACACACCCUCGCAUGGGGAGUGUGUGGAAAGUUUUUCGGUCUGGGAUGGACUCGCGGCCUAUCAGCUUGUUGGUGGGGUAAUGGCUCACCAAGGCGAUGACGGGUAGCCGGCCUGAGAGGGCGACCGGCCACACUGGGACUGAGACACGGCCCAGACUCCUACGGGAGGCAGCAGUGGGGAAUAUUGCACAAUGGGCGAAAGCCUGAUGCAGCGACGCCGCGUGAGGGAUGACGGCCUUCGGGUUGUAAACCUCUUUCAGCAGGGAAGAAGCGCAAGUGACGGUACCUGCAGAAGAAGCACCGGCUAACUACGUGCCAGCCGCCGCGGUAACAC